ACCGCGUUCCUGUUCCAGGUACUGGGGCCCCCCCCGGGGGGGCACGGGGGGGACAGGGGGGCCGGGCCCGGGGCUGGCGGGCGGGCGGGCGGGCGCUCCUCCUCCCUCCCUCCCGGCCCCGCUCUCCGGCCCGGCCUUAAUCCCCCUUUGUUUUUCCGCCCGCCCGCCCCGGCGGAGCGGGGCUGCUGAGGGGAAAGGAGGCAGCCUCGCGGGGCGCGGGGGAGAAAGCAGGCCUCGGGGUGACCCCCGGGCCCCCCCAGCGCACACACGCACACGCACACACCCUUCGCUCCCGCCCCGGAGGGGAAGGGAGGAGGCCGGCCGCUGUCACCGCCCGCGGCCCGGAGAAAGGAGGGCGCCGGGCCGCUGGAGAGCGCGGUCCGCUUGGCCGCGGCGCGCCGGGCCGGGGCCCACGCUGUGGGGUGAGGGGGUCCCCGGGUCCCACUCCGUCCC
rnacentral:lncRNA from 1 species